rnacentral:tRNA from 1 species
GUGGGUAUAGCACAGUGGUAGAGCACAUGCUUAGCACGCACUAGGCCCUGGGUUCAAUCCCCAGUACCACCA